rnacentral:rRNA from 1 species
UACAGAGGUCUCAAGCGUUGUUCGGAUUCAUUGGGCGUAAAGGGUGCGUAGGUGGCAAGGUAAGUCGGGUGUGAAAUCCCGGGGCUCAACCCUGGAACUGCACUCGAUACUGCCAUGCUCGAGUACUGGAGAGGAGACUGGAAUUUACGGUGUAGCAGUGAAAUGCGUAGAUAUCUGGAGGAAUACCGGUGGCGAAGGCGGCAUCCUGGACCGGCAUUGACGCUGAGGAGCGAAAGCCAGGGGAGCAAACGGG